rnacentral:rRNA from 1 species
ACGGGUGAGUAACACGUGGGUAACCUGCCUUAAGGACUGGGAUAACAGAUCGAAAGGUCUGCUAAUACCGGAUAAGACCACAAGGGCUUCGGCUUUUGGGGUCAAAGUCGGCCUCUCGAUGAAGCCGGCACCUUAAGAUGGGCCCGCGGACCAUUAGCUUGUUGGUGAGGUAACGGCUCACCAAGGCCGAGAUGGUUAGCUGGUCUGAGAGGAUGAUCAGCCACACUGGAACUGAGAUACGGUCCAGACUCCUACGGGAGGCAGCAGUGAGGAAUAUUGCGCAAUGGAGGCAACUCUGACGCAGCAACGCCGCGUGGGCGAUGAAGGCCUUCGGGUUGUAAAGCCCCGUCGGGUGGGAAGAAACCACUUGAGGUGAAUAGUCUCGAGUGCUGACGGUACCACCAAAGGAAGCACCGGCUAACUCCGUGCCAGCAGCCGCGGUAAGACGGAGGGUGCAAGCGUUGUUCGGAAUCACUGGGCGUAAAGCGCGUGUAGGCGGUUCGAUAAGUCGAAUGUGAAAGCCCGAGGCUCAACUUCGGAAGUGCAUUCGAUACUGUUGGGCUUGAGUACGGGAGAGGGAAG